UGUAAAGCGCAUUUGGUCAUUAAUGUAAAGCGCAGUUGAUCACAUCCAUAUGUAAAUUUGCGCUAUAGAAAGUUUCUAGAAAUGUUAACCGCCAUGGCUGACCUUAUAUGGAGUUUUGACAUAAUAUUCAACGGAAUGACGUCAUAGCGUUGAAUAUGAAAAAAAAAAAUGUAACGAGGUGCCGUAAUAACGUUGAGUAUAAAAAAAUCAUAUUCAACCAUAUGACGUCUUGCAAUGGAAAUACGAAUGCAAAAUGUGGAAACACGACCAAAACAAUAUGGCGCUGCCUUCGGCCGUGAUGCCAGCAAACUGCAGGUUUAAAGGAAACAACUUUUACAAUAUAGAAGAAGAAAUAUUAAAAACAGCCACGAAAGGUUUUGAAACACCUUAAGAUACUUGUGAUAGAAAAAGAAAAGAUUUGGGGAAAAGAGCUGGUCAUUAUUUCGACGAAUUGAACCCACAAGUGCGGAUGUCUUUCCC